rnacentral:rRNA from 1 species
GAGUUUGAUCAUGGCUCAGAACGAACGCUGGCGGCGCGCCUAACACAUGCAAGUCGAACGAGAAUCCGGGGCAACCCGGUAGUAAAGUGGCAAACGGGUGAGGAAUACAUGGGUAACCUACCCUUGAGAAGGGAAUAACCCGCCGAAAGGUGAGCUAAUACCCUAUACGCUAUCAUUUUUACGAAAAAGAUAGGAAAGCCGGGUCGAGGACUUGGCACUCAAGGAGGGGCUCAUGUCCUAUCAGCUUGUUGGUGGGGUAACGGCCUACCAAGGCUACGACGGGUAGCUGGUCUGAGAGGAUGAUCAGCCACACUGGCACUGAGAUACGGGCCAGACUCCUACGGGAGGCAGCAGUGAGGAAUAUUGCGCAAUGGGCGAAAGCCUGACGCAGCGACGCCGCGUGGGGGAUGAAGGUUUUCGGAUUGUAAACCCCUUUCAUGAGGAAAGAUAAAGUGGGUAACCACUUAGACGGUACCUCAAGAAGAAGCCACGGCUAACUUCGUGCCAGCAGCCGCGGUAAUACGAAGGUGGCAAGCGUUGUUCGGAUUUACUGGGCGUAAAGAGCACGUAGGCGGUUGGGAAAGCCUUUUGGGAAAUCUCCCGGCUUAACCGGGAAAGGUCGAGAGGAACUAUUCAGCUAGAGGACGGGAGAGGAGCGCGGAAUUCCCG